ACGACAUAUAUUUGCACUGACACAAGAAACGUCUCCAGUGACAGGAGAGACCGUCGCGGUGCCGGAGCGGGUUGGGAUGGAAUUCGCGGUGACCCAGGCACUGACUGGCACGCGCGGCUGCGUGCGGGCACCGAGGAGCCGAUGGAACUAGCGCGUAGAGCGCUGUUCACGCGGAGCUCCAAACUCUACAAGGAAGCCCCGAGAUGGAGACAAUGAAAAACAAGCACACGGUUCACGCUGGGGUCCCUUCGAGCCGCAGGAAAGGGAGAGGCGGCUCGCGGGGCGGCCUGCCGCGAGUUGAGAUGCGCUGAGCACCGGGCACAGCGGCCGUUUGGAGAAGCAGACGUGCGGCUCAUUCGGGGAGGGCGCAGAGGUGUCUCAUGGGGGAGGCGCAGCCAGCUUCUGAAGUGGGAAUAGAGGGAUUGUUUCCAGGAUUAGCAGCCAUGGAGAGGGUGGGGGUGCAGGCUGGAUAAGGGGCCGUUCUUGCGGAUUGGCAGCCAGUUUGGGCAGCUCGGUUGGAGGGGUUGUUCUCCAGUAUUACUGGCCAUGGUUCGGGCAGCCUGGACUUUAUGGGGGAAUGCAGGGAUUGUUUGGAGCAAUCAGCACCCAUAGGCUGGGCAGGCUCGAUUCUUUAUUGGGGGGUGUCUUGCUAUGUUACCCAGGCUGGACUCAAAUUCCUUGGCUCAAGUGAUCCUCCCACCUCCUCAGCCUCCCAAAGUGCUGGAAUUACAGGCGUGAGUUGCUGCACCCAGCCUGCUCAGUGACGUUGAUGUUAGCCAGAUUCCAUCUUAUCUAUGGAAAACGGAAGCACAACAGGUGAAGUUGCCUGCCAAGUCAGCCAGCUGGUGGCUGCUUCCUCUGUACACCUCACCCCAAAUCUGAAAGCUCUUGGAAGGAGCAGUGCCUCACACACACCACAGCCAUUCUGGUGCCGGGUUGGAGCAGCUGCACAUUUAUAAACGCCUGCCCAUUGCCUGAUCUCAGGGUGCCACUGAGGACGAGGGGCCUGUGCACAGCACGCGUGUGAUGUGCACUUCUGGGUCACAAGAGUCCUGGGGAGACUCCAGAGGAAAAACCACCCAUAGGCACUAUGCCAUGACCACACCCAUGGACAACAGGACAGUUGUGACUCAGUCACCAGGAAGAACGCUGGCCAGAGAUGAGAGAUUCUGAGGGUGAUUUUCUUUCCCUGACCUGAUGAGCCAGAGCUCUGGCCACUGCGCUGUCUCCCGGGGCCAGCUGAGAGAACUCCACCUCCAGAGGCCCAGAGCCUUGGAAUGGAAGGGUGCAGCUUGCAGGGGCUUCUAUUAGGGACACAGAGGGCCAGACACCAAUAAACUGCCCUCUGCUUGCUGCCAUUAGGGUCAACAGAAUCAGUGCUGCGGGGACCAACUCAGCCUGACCCACUGUGAACAGUGCCCUGCUCACGGUGCUGGGAAGAUACCAACAUUUGUGAAAUAUGAGGCACAUUGUUUUCUAUACAUUUGGGGGAAAAUGGCAACUGUAAAAAUGACAUAAUAGGCCGGAUUUGGUGGCUCACGCCUGUAAUCCCAGUACUUUGGAGGCCGAGAGGGGCGCAUUGCUUGAGUCCGGGGUUUAAGACUGGGCAAUAUCUCGGAACCCUAUCUCUAGAAAGAAUACAAAAAUUAGUUAGACAGCGGUGCCUGCCUGUGGUCCCAGCUACUUAGAAGGCUGAGGCGGAAGGAUCGCUUGAGCCUGGGAGGUGGAGGUUGCAGUGAACUGAGAUCCCACUACUGCACUCCAGCCUCGGGGACAGAGCCAGACCGUGUCUCAAAAAAAAAAAAAAAAAAAAAAAAGUAGCAGAGGGUGGAGCUGGACAGACCUGCUGUCCUGUGUUGGUUCUUAUUACUGGUAUUAUUACCAGUGCCCACCUGCUGAUUCGGACUCUUAGCGACCCCUCCACAGCACUGUCCUGAGGGUGAAAUGAGAUCGGGGACAAAGUGCCACCAACUGGAAAAGGUUAACUCAGAACCAUCUGGCACCCACCAGAACUUCCUACGCCGGGAGUGCGUCAGAACCAGCCGAGGGUGUGAAAGCGGACACUGUCACACUGUGGUAGGAUUCUAAAUCAUUCACUAUUUACAUGAGCACAGAAAUAAACUAGAAUAAGAUGUGUUAA